rnacentral:rRNA from 1 species
AUGCCACCAGCUGACAUGACUGAGCAUGUUGCCAAGCUGCUUGAAGAAAAGAAGGGAUUUGAUGUCAGUUUCAUUGUUGGAGGAGAGGCCAUUGAAGCACAUAGGUUUGUUAUCGCUAUGCGGUCGCCUAUUUUUAAAGCAGAGCUCUAUGGGUCAAUGCGGGAGGCAAGGCCAGGGCAGUGCAUAACCAUCAAGGACAUGCAACCUGCUGUUUUCAAGGCCCUGCUCCAUUUCAUCUAUACUGACUCCUUGCCUAGGGGCGAGGAUACUGAGAUGGUCCAGCUUUUACUAGUGGCUGCUGACAGAUAUGCAAUGGAUAGACUCAAGUUGGUUUGCCAAAGCAUCCUUUGCAAGGAUCUGAACAAGGACACUGUGGCAACCACAUUGGCUUUAGCUGACCAACAUAACUGCCUCCAGCUUAAGGAUGCUUCCCUUCAGUUUAUCGAAUUAUCAGGUUUCAAGGAUCUCAAGGCGACUUGCCCAUCUUUCAUAGAGGACGUAUUGAAGAAGAUAAGAAAAGUUUCAUGA